GGAGGGAGGGAGGGAGGGAGGGAGGGAGGACUUCAACUGUGAGCUAGGUACUGACUAACUGUGUGGAGGGAGGGAGGGAUCUAGUGUGAACGGUCAGCGAGGUGGUUCUCAGAACAUGGUAUGUGUCCAAAAUGGCACUACAUUUCCUAUACAGUACACUACUUUAGACCAGGGCCCGUAGGACUAACCCGUAGCAAUCUGGUCAACAGAAGCGCACUUUCGAGGGAAUAGAGGGCCAUUUGGGACUAACUUGCAAUAGUGUUUACCUGGCCAGAGGUCCAGGUGUAACCUGUCCGUACAGUAACUCAGUCAUGUGGUGUAGUACAGGUGUAACCUGUCCGUACAGUAACUCAGUCAUGUGGUGUAGUACAGGUGUAACCUGUCCGUACAGUAACUCAGUCAUGUGGUGUAGUACAGGUGUUGUGUCCGUACAGUAACUCAGUCAUGUGGUGUAGUACAGGUGUAACCUGUCCGUACAGUAACUCAGUCAUGUGGUGUAGUACAGGUGUAACCUGUCCGUACAGUAACUCAGUCAUGUGGUGUAGUACAGGUGUUACCUGUCCGUACAGUAACUCAGUCAUGUGGUGUAGUACAGGUGUUGUGUCCGUACAGUAACUCAGUCAUGUGGUGUAGUACAGGUGUAACCUGUCCGUACAGUAACUCAGUCAUGUAGUGUAGUACAGGUGUUACCUGUCCGUACAGUAACUCAGUCAUGUGGUGUAGUACAGGUGUAACCUGUCCGUACAGUAACUCAGUCAUGUGGUGUAGUACAGGUGUAACCUGUCCGUACAGUAACUCAGUCAUGUGGUGUAGUACAGGUGUUACCUGUCCAUACAGUAACUCAGUCAUGUGGUGUAGUACAGGUGUAACCUGUCCGUACAGUAACUAUGUCAUGUGGUGUAGUACAGGUGUAACCUGUCCGUACAGUAACUCAGUCAUGUGGUGUAGUACAGGUGUUACCUGUCCGUACAGUAACUCAGUCAUGUGGUGUAGUACAGGUGUAACCUGUCCGUACUGUAACUCAGUCAUGUGGUGUAGUACAGGUGUAACCUGUCCGUACAGUAACUCAGUCAUGUGGUGUAGUACAGGUGUAACCUGUCCGUACAGUAACUCAGUCAUGUGGUGUAGUACAGGUGUAACCUGUCCGUACAGUAACUAUGUCAUGUGGUGUAGUACAGGUGUAACCUGUCCGUACAGUAACUCAGUCAUGUAGUGUAGUACAGGUGUUACCUGUCCGUACAGUAACUCAGUCAUGUGGUGUAGUACAGGUGUAACCUGUCCGUACAGUAACUCAGUCAUGUGGUGUAGUACAGGUGUAACCUGUCAGUAACUCAGUCAUGUGGUGUAGUACAGGUGUUACCUGUCCGUACAGUAACUCAGUCAUGUGGUGUAGUACAGGUGUAACCUGUCCGUACAGUAACUCAGUCAUGUGGUGUAGUACAGGUGUAACCUGUCAGUAACUCAGUCAUGUGGUGUAGUACAGGUGUUACCUGUCCGUACAGUAACUCAGUCAUGUGGUGUAGUACAGGUGUAACCUGUCCGUACUGUAACUCAGUCAUGUGGUGUAGUACAGGCGUAACCUGUCCGUACAGUAACUCAGUCAUGUGGUGUAGUACAGGCGUAACCUGUCCGUACAGUAACUCAGUCAUGUGGUGUAGUACAGGUGUAACCUGUCAGUAACUCAGUCAUGUGGUGUAGUACAGGUGUAACUCAGUCAUGUGGUGUAGUACAGGUGUAACCUGUCAGUAACUCAGUCAUGUGGUGUAG
rnacentral:lncRNA from 1 species